rnacentral:tRNA from 1 species
GGGGGCGUAGCUCAAUUUGGUUAGAGCAUCAGAUUGUCGAUCUGAGGGUUGCGGGUUCAAGUCCCGUCGCUCCCG